CCUACGGGAGGCAGCAGUGAGGAAUAUUGGUCAAUGGGCGGAAGCCUGAACCAGCCAAGUAGCGUGCGGGAUGAAGGCCCUACGGGUUGUAAACCGCUUUUGCCCGGGGAUAAAACGCUCCACUUGUGGUGGUCUGCAGGUACCGCGUGAAUAAGGGCCGGCUAAUUCCGUGCCAGUAGCCGCGGUAAUACGGAAGGCCCGGGCGUUAUCCGGCUUCAUUGGGCUUAAAGGGAGCGUAGGCGGGCGUUAAAGUCAGCGGUAAAAUCGCGCGGCUCAACCCCGGCCCGCAGUUGAAGAGGGACGCCUUGAGUGCACAACAGGCAUGCGGAAUUCGUGGUGUAGCGGUGAAAUGCAUAGAUAUCACGAAGAACCCCGAGUGCGAAGGCAGCCUGCCGGGGUGCGACUGACGCUGAGGCUCGAAGGUGCGGGUAUCGAACAGGAUUAGAUACCCUGGUAGUC
rnacentral:rRNA from 1 species